AGGUUUGUAGCUCAAUUGGCUAGAGCGUCGGACUCCAAAUCCGAAGGUUGGGGGUUCAACUCCCUCCAGACCUG
rnacentral:tRNA from 1 species